AGUGGGACAGCUGGGUCAAAUGGUGGUUCCAUCCCACGUUUUCUAAGGAGUCUCCAUACUGCUUCCCAGAGUGGUUGCACCAAUUUGCAAUCCCUCCAGCAAU
rnacentral:pre_miRNA from 1 species